rnacentral:rRNA from 1 species
GACGAACGCUGGCGGCGUGCCUAAUACAUGCAAGUCAAACGCAGUGGGGACGGGUGAGUAACCCGUUGGUAACCUCCCAUCAGAGGGGAUAACACUUGGAAACAGUUGCUAAACCGAUACUGAUGGAUGGACCCGCGGUGCGUUAGCUAGUUGGUGGGGUAACGGCUCACCAAGGCCACGAUGCAUAGCCGACCGGAGAGGGGGAUAGGCCACACUGGGACGGAGACACGGCCCAGAGUCCUACGGGAGGCAGCAGUAGGGAAUCGUCGGCAAUGGACGAAAGUCUGACCGAGCGACGCCGCGUUAGUGAAGAAGGCGUUGGGAUCGUAAAACUCUGUUGUUAGAGAAGCGGUAGCGAAACAGGAAGCAACGGCUAACUACGUGCCAGCAGCCGCGGUAAUAC